ensembl:lncRNA novel transcript
CAUUUCUGUGGAAUCCCGGAUGAUGAGCAUCACCAAGUGCAGAAGCUGAGUUGGGUGGAACAGUUGCUCACAGUGGGGCAGCUCACUCAUUGCCUUGACACAUGCUCUUGUUUUGCCAUGAACAUAAACUUGUGGUGGGGCCUAUUUACAGCCCUGGUGCCAAAGUUUCAACCACAGUGAGAGACCUAAGGAUUUCAAGGAAAACUCAAAGCACCAAUAUUCAGUGAUAGAAGACUCAGAGGUUUGAUGCAGAGUUCACUCUCUGAAAAUGAACGUUCAGUAAAAGCAUGUCUGAUUUGGAGGCUUCAUAUAAACUGCCUGUGAAGUAGACGCCACUUUGCAGGAAUCCGGUCAGCUGUAACAUUCCUGAAGGAGGAGGAGGAUGGUUCAGAGAAUGCGGUUCUUCUUCGAAACAAAGAUCCACAUCAGAAUCAUGAGGCUGAAGGAGCAUUUUGCAUAUAAUAGGCACUCACUCAGUGGGUUGAAUGAAUCAAUAUAUUAACAAAGAAACAAAUAAAUGAAUGAAGAGAAGAAUGAAAACUCAUAAAGAGCCAGUUUCCUUUAUUCAUCUGAAAAUUUGGUUAUUUGCAAAUGUAAUUCACUUAAGACGAGUUCAUCAGGGUGGACCCUAAUCCAAUAUGACUGGUGUCCUUAUAAUAAGAGAAGACAGAAAUACACAGGGAGCGUGCCGUGUGACAACAGAGGCAGACACUGAACUGAUGUUAUUGCAAGCUGAGGAACAUAAAGGAUUGCCGGCAACACCAGAAGCUAGGAUGACUCAAGGAAUGACCCUCCUCUAGAACCUUCAGAGAAAGCACGGCCCUACUGACAACUUAACUUUGGACUUCCAAUCUCUAGAACUGUAAGAUAAUAAAUACCUGUUGUUUUAAGCCACCAAAGUUUGUGGCACAUUUUCUUGUUAUAGCAGCCCUAGGAAACAGAGCUAUCCAUAUUUGUAUAGAUUGUAUGAUACAGUUGCACAGCUUCCAGUGACCGCCAUUAUAGAAGCUAGGAAGAGUCAAGGAAGAGAGUUCUGUCAGAGACUCAGAGGGAGCUGAGUAGCCAGACCAGGCUGACAUCUUGAUUUCAAAGUUUUAGCCUCCAGAAAGAACACAUUUUUUUUUGUUUGAAGCACCCAGUUUGUCGUACUUUGUAAUAGCAGGUCUGGGAGACUACCAUGGAUGGUAUCCCUUCCAAUGACUCCAUCAUGAUAUUAUCACUGAGCAUUUCCCAUACGGUGUCCAGGAAUUAUGUGCAUACAACCCACCACAAGUGAGAAAGUAGUCAUUUCCCAGCUUUGCCACUGGGCUCUGUUUUCAAGGAUGAGUCAGGUAGCAGCCCACUGUGUGUCCCAGACUGCAGGGGACACAUUUUCCCUCACUGGGGCAGGAGGAGGAACUGACAUUGAGCCAACACCCUUUUAUUUCUAACAGCUUCAACCCUUUCAUAGCUUCUCGUUGGCAUUAGGCUGUAUGGAUAAGAGGCCUCUAUUGCAGGAUCUGCACAAGUCAUUCAGUGCCUCACUUUGGAGAUUGGAAAUACUGCACCUGUUCUUUUAGUUUCUGACUUUUGGAGCUUUUGAGAAAACUGAAACAGAAAUUGUCCCAUUUCGAUAUUCUGAUUUAAACCUAAAUUAAUUUCUGCCAGAUUUUCAGGUUUAUUGAUAUUAAGUUGCACAGAGUGUUUUUUAAAGUUUAAAAAAUCUUCUUUGGAUAUAUUUGGUUUUUUUCUCUCACAUGUUUUCUUAAUCAAACUUGCUGACCUUUGUUUUGUAUUCUGUACUAGUCUCUAAAAAAAGAAUCAUCUUUCUAUUUUACUGAUAAUUCUACCAAUAUAUUUGUUAUCAAUUUUACUAUUUUUCCUUUUAAUAUUUAUUACUUUCUAUCAUCUCUCUGGUUUAUUUCAUUGCUUAGCUUCUAGAGUUGAAUACUUCUUUGGUUUUUAUGCAAAAUUUUUUUCUAAUAAAUGCAUUUUUUUUCCCUUGGGUAUCAGCUUGGCCAUGUAGGAGACAUGCCCAGCCAGCGUUCAUCUGCCUGCCUCACCUUUUCCUCUUUUCUACUUGCUGUAUGGAACUUACAUCUGGUUAGGAAUCGGUCCCACUACAUUAGAUACAUAGGGCUGUCAUGCCAGUUUUCUAUAUGGUAUUUUUAAAAAUUCUGCCUUGUUUCUUCUUUGAUCCAAAAUUUAUUUAGAAGACCUUAGUCUUCUAAAUAUCUGCUGAUGCUUUGGAAUGGUUGCUGGCCUUUUGUUGUUAGCUUUUGGGUUACUGACCCUUUGAUGUUAAAUUUGAAUUUUCAUUGGAUUUUAAUUUACUGGAUUUUAAUAAAAUUUUAUUAUAUUUCAAUAAGUUAAAAGGGUCUGCAUGAGUUGUGCUUUGAAAAUUUGUCACCAUUUAAAAAAAUUUCCCAAUAUAUUGUAAAUUUGUGAAUGUUCCAUCUGUUUGAAAAUAACAUGUAUUCUGUUCCUUGGAUACAAAGUUCUACCACAAUUUAUAGAUCAAGCAAUUGAAUUAUGCAUCCUAAAUUCUCAAUAUCUUUAAUUUGUUAAUUAAUAUUUAAAGAUACACUUGUUGAAGUUUCUCAUUGUGAUUAUGAAAUUGUUUAUUUUUCUUUUAAUAAGAUUUUUAUUUCAAAAUUAAGUUGUUAGGAGCACAAAUAUUCAUGAUAAUAGUAAAGUUUUAAUGGAGUUAACAUUUUAUUAAUAUGAAAUAUCCAUCUUUGUCCCCUUUCAGUAGUUUUUAUCCUGAAUUCUACUUUAUCUCAUUUUAAUGUCCCUAUAUAUGCUCUCCUUUUGUUAGCCUUUGCUUUCAAUACCUUUUUGCCUUCUUUUAUUUUUAACCUCCCUAUGUUGUGUCAUUGUAUUUGGAUUUCUGAAAAAUAACAAAUGGCUGUAACAUUUCUCCAGUAGGAGAAUCUUUGUCUUUUAAUAUAUACAUUUAACCCAGGAAAAUGUAUCAUGAUUACUGAUAAAAUUGACUAUGUUCUCAGAACCAUAGUUCGUAGUUUAUCUUUUAUAUGCUUUCUUGCCGUCUCUUUUCCUUAACUGCUUAUGUGAUUAAGUUAUUUGUUCCUUUUUUUCCUCCAAAUGAUUUGGGAGUAAGGCAUCCUAAUUCUCAGUGGUUAACCUCAAGUCUUUAAUAAGUAUGCUUAAAUAUAUACAGAAAAUCAAAUCAAAACCACAAUGAGAUACCUACCAUCUCGCAUCAGUUAGAGUGACUAUUACUAAAAAGUCAAAAAAUAACAGAUGCUGGUGAGGUUGCAGAGAAAAAGCAACCCUUAUACACGGUUAGUGGGAGUGUGAAUCAGUUUAACCAUUGUGGAAGACAGUGGGGCGAUUCUUCAAAGACCUAAAAACAGAAAUACCAUUUGACUCAGCAAUCCCAUUACUGGGUAUAUAUAUACCCAAAGAAAUAUAAAUCUUCUAUCAUAAAGACACAUGCAUGAGUAUGUUCAUUGCAGCACUAUUCACAACAGUAAAGACAUGGAAUCUACCUAAAUGCCCACAAUGGUAGACUGGAUAAAGAAAAUGUGGUACAUAUAUACCAUGGAAUACUAGGCAGCCAUUAAAAAAGACUGAGAUCAUGUCAUUUGUAGGAACAUAGAUGGAUCUGGAGGCCACUAUCCUUAGCAAACUAACACAGGAACAGAAAACCAAAUACCACAUGUUCUCACUUAUAAGUGGGAGCUAAACAAUGAGAACACAUGGACAUAUAGAGCAGAAAAACAGACACUGGGACCUAUUGGAGGGUGGAGGUUGAGAGGUGGGAGAGGAUCAGGAAAAAUAACUAGUGGGUACUAGGCUUAAUACCUCAGUAAUAAAAUAAUCUGUUCAACAAACCCUCAUGACAUGAGUUUACCUAUGUAACAAACCUGCGCAUGUACCCCUGAACUUAAAAUAAAAGUUAAAAAAAUGUCAAAAGCUAGAGUCAAUCAGCAUGUAUAUUUCUCCUCCUGGGAUGACAAGAACAUCACCUUUCUUUCUGAUAUCCCUCCCUGUUCUUCCUUGCCACAUGCCCCUCUGCAGCCUCCUAGCUCCCAAUCAGCUUCAUCUCAUUUUUCUCUCUCCCUGCAGUGGAGUAGGUGGGUUGGCAGCAGAAGUAAUUUCAGGUUCCUCAAUUCUUCUGCAUUGCUGGUGAGGGUCUUAAGUGCUGAAAGUCAUUCAUACUGAAAAUAGAUAAUUCUCUUGUCAAUACUGACAAACUCUUACAACAUACUUUUGAUGAAUUAUUUACUCUAACACAAUCUUUGUCUCUUUUCUUCAUUUAACCAAAGACUCAGUUCCAUGACCCGAAGAAGACGGAUGUAGAGAGCAAAGAAAGAGGAGUGGAAAAACUCUCCUAUAUUGAAAUAGCACAA